CCUACGGGAGGCAGCAGUGGGGAAUAUUGGGCAAUGGGCGCAAGCCUGACCCAACAACGCCGCGUGAAGGAAGAAGGCUUUCGGGUUGUAAACUUCUUUUGUCAGGGACGAAGCAAGUGACGGUACCUGACGAAUAAGCCACGGCUAACUACGUGCCAGCAGCCGCGGUAAUACGUAGGUGGCAAGCGUUAUCCGGAUUUACUGGGUGUAAAGGGCGUGGAGGCGGGACUGCAAGUCAGAUGUGAAACCCACGGGCUCAACCUGUGGCCUGCAUUUGAAACUGUAGUUCUUGAGUACUGGAGAGGCAGACGGAAUGCCUAGUGUAGCGGUGAAAUGCGUAGAUAUUAGGAGGAACACCAGUGGCGAAGGCGGUCUGCUGGACAGCAACUGACGCUGAGGCGCGAAAGCGUGGGGAGCAAACAGGAGUGGAUACCCCUGUAGUC
rnacentral:rRNA from 1 species